CAACAAUGGGUCAGCGACGGACAACACAGUGCAGACUGAGGGGUCAGGGCACGCUUCAUGGAAGAGUGCCAGGCGAGGUGUCCGGCGAGGUGUCACAGCCCUGGCAGUAGAGAGUGGUUCGCUCAUGGGUAGCAAGAAGAAUUUACCAACAACAGCAUAGGCUUGAAAUGGAAUAUCGUAUUAGAUGGAAAGAAACGCUGCAGCCGAGUGCAGAGGGGCAUCUCAGCAAGAGAGGACUAAGUGCACUGCGGUGGAUUGUCCUUCGUGUGCUGAACACAUCUGCCUUCCCAGUAGACACUGACCGAGCCUCUGAAGAACAAGUUUUUCCCUUCUUGUGUCCCAGGCUUGCUGAAGGGCGUGGCAUUUAAAUGUCUGUAUUUACUUGAAUCGCACAUUAUUGAAUCGGAUAAAACUGAAAGAUUUUCAGGAGAAGACAAUGUCUAACUAUUGACAGACAAACUUGUACGUCUACUUGCAACUACCCACACCUGGGAGCUCGUUAAGAGCACCAAACCUUGGGUUCCAUCCCAAAACUACUGGAUCAAAAUCUGCAUAUUUAACAAGAUCUCCAGGUAAUUCAAGUGAAUAUUAAAGCUUGAGAAGCACUUAUUAUGCUCAGUGUUCUGCAUCUCCAGACCGGGGAAGAAAUACGUUCUAGUUCCCCUGGUAGAGCCACUGCCUGUCUCAAUGUUACAAGGGUAGGAGACAGAAAGAAGGGAUGGGCAGUGUGGGGAAAAGAUUAAGAGCAACUUGGAGACCUGGUUUUGGGUCUCAGAUAGGUGUGGAAUUGAGCUCAAUUUCUGUUACUUAUUAGUUUUGAAUAUUGGGCCUGUGAGCUUAACAUUCCUGUUCUGUAUAGUGGGGAUAGUCAUAGCAUCUAACUCAAUGUGGUGCCAUGAGGGUUCAAUAAUACGACACAUACAUCAGAAUCUUGAAGAAUCCUGUGUGAAUAAUAUACCUUCCAGGGCCUGACUCUAGAACUUCCAAUCAGAAUCUUUGAGAUGGUCCAGAAACGCACGUUUUUAAUGAGUUCUCCUCCAUGUAAAGUUCACAUCAGUGCUGAAGAGAUUCUGCAGCCAUAAAGGUGGAUGUUUCCAUGAGUGUUUGGGACACCAACUCAUCCUCAUUAGACAUUAGAUCCAUGCUGGGAAUCCUCAGGUCAGCAAUUUGAACCAGCCCCAGAUCCACCGAAGCUGCAGUCGGAAGAACAAGACACAGAGAAGGAGUGGCAAGAACAAGAAAGCUUCCGAGAGUGCAAGCGUUUUUUUUUUCUUUAUCGGAUUCGACGCUCUGGAGAAAAUUAAACAGGAUUGCACUUUCUAUCGAAUAAAGUACACUCAUUCUUCAGAAUCAUAGAUUGUGAAUCUAACAAUCUUGCUGAGAAUGGAUACUCUGACUUCCAGAGACUUGAUGACUUUGUUUCCUCUCUUCUCCCGUAAUUUUACGUGUGAUAAGUGGAUGUUGGCAGCUUCUCCAAAUAAGGCAUGAAUCAAGAAUGUACUCUCAACGUGAAAUAGCAAGCCAAAGAUUGAUUAUAUCUACUUAAGUCUAUGAUAAAAAUGGACACCAGCUUGCCAAAUUA